rnacentral:lncRNA from 1 species
AUUGGGCAAGUUGGAUAAGUUAUUGGAGGGCAAGUUGGACAAGGACCACCGCCUCCAGGUGGAGCACCACCACCUCCGAUUGGUGGAACAAUACCACCUCCAAUAGGUGGAACAAUACCACCUCCAACAGGUGGAGUAUAAGGUGGAUACGUAGGAGAAGGUGGUGGCAUUAUCACUGGAGGGUUUAUAACUGGAGGAGGAAUAAUCACUGGAGGGUUCACAACUGGUGGAGGUAGGAUUACUGGAGGGUUAACAACGGGUGGAGGUAAGAUCACUGGAGGGUUCACAACAGGAGGAGGAUAAACUAUCGGAGGACGGACAACUGGUGAUUUUGGUGGAGGAUGAACUAUUGGAGGACGAACAACUGGUGAUUUUGGCGGAGGAUG